rnacentral:lncRNA from 1 species
UACAUCAUCUGUAAUGGAAAUGUUCCUCCUCUGUGUUUACUUAUAGCUGUUGAACCCAAGAUUCCUGUUCCACGUUCUCAGAUGGAUCUUGGUUUUGAGCCUGAAGAGUAUCCCAGAGGUGCUGGUGGUGUGAGAACAGCAGAGGGAGUGGAUCAGAAAUGGGGAGAAAAUCACACUGCAGUUGCAGUGCUUGCCGUCCUGUUCUCUCUGGUUGUUCUGGCAGCUUUGGGUUACCUGGCAAAACAGCUGCUGAAGAAGAGACAAGAAGGUGCAAUGCUAUGUGAGGCUUGCAUUUGCACAAGAAAGGAAGACCCAUCUCCAGUAAAAAAACAACAGACCUUUGCGAGAAUUAUCAUAGAAAUGGAAAACGAUUCCGGGAAGUCAAACCCAAAUCUGAGCGGUCUUCCCAAUUCCAAGGUCUCAGAAACACCUUCCUUAUUCUAUCAGCCCCCGCAGCAAUCCUCUCAGACUGACUUUCCCAGGCAGUCAGAAAACGCUGAUGAUACAAGCGAAAGGCCACCAGAGUCAGGAGAAGAGAGGAAAAGUAUAUGCACCUGUGGAAGACCAGUGAAACUGGGUGAACCACAGAACCCCUAGGGGACCAAGAAUGUAGAGAUCAGCACCGCUGGGGAGCUGUGUGCCACGGGAGAGAACACACAGUGUCCGUGAGAGAAAUACAUCAGACAGACGGGGAAGGAAGGGUCUCCUAAUCGUGCCGCAGGCUCAGCAAUGCAGAGCAGUAAGGAAUGUCCUUACAUCACUACGUCACUCUGUCUCUUCCUCCCAGAAACGAUGUGGAAAGGACUGGAGCGUUUGGGGAACUCUAAUUCUCCCUUAGCAGCUUUCCCAAUUCCAUCAGUUCAUUGCAAGAUGUCCAUACUUAUGAACGGGCAUUCACUGCUGAUUCCAUAUUGUGACACCACGCCCAAGUUGUACAACACAGAUAUAUAUAUAUAUCUACACAAUCAAUAAACUAUAACUAACACCAUAUACGGAUAUGCGU